GGAAGGGAGAAAUUAUUGGUGAAGAGGUAGUGAUGGGGGUUAGAUGGUGUUAAUUUGGGUGAGUUUGGUGAUGACGCCACCACCGGAGAAACUGUGGUGACGCUAGGGUUCAGAGCUUUGAAUUGAUAUUUGAAUGGUUUCGGGUGGAUUUAGGAGAAACGGAGUGGGUAUCUGGGAUGAGGAUGUGGAGGAGAAGAGACGGUUAAUUUCACGGUGGUUGGACGCCGGCCAUCGCCGUAGGCGACUCCCGGUGCACGACAGGCGGUGGAUUAGGGCGGUAUUUUAUUGGGGUUCUCUGAGGUGAUGAGAGUCGGUGAUGGGGGGUUCUGAGAGACAAGAGGAGGGUCAUUUGGACACUUAUAUGUUUAGUGAACUUAG
rnacentral:lncRNA from 1 species